UACGAACUGUGCGAACGUUAUUCGGAAUCACUGGGCUUAAAGGGUGCGUAGGCGGGUUAGUAGGUCAGAUGUGAAAGCCCACGGCUCAACCGUGGAAUUGCGUUUGAAACCACUAGUCUUGAGGGGAUCAGAGGAGAGCGGAACUGAUGGUGGAGCGGUGAAAUGCGUUGAUAUCAUCAGGAACACCGGUGGCGAAAGCGGCUCUCUGGGAUCCUUCUGACGCUGAGGCACGAAAGCUAGGGGAGCGAACGGGAUUAGAUACCCCAGUA
rnacentral:rRNA from 1 species